GAGUCGGACACGGUUAAACCAUUCUCCAAUUCGGACAGAUCCUUCUGCAAUUGAGUAAUCUCGCGAGCGGACAUGGUGCUCCAUUGAUGAUAUUGCACAACGGCCUAUUAAAAUAAUAUCAUUAGCAUGUUUCAUAACAAAAUUAUCUUUCGAUUUCCAAGCAGCCAAGCCGUUUGCUCCAUAAAUGAAUAGUAUAAUUAUAAUAAUUAUUGCGUUAUUAUAAUAUAGUUUGAAAGAUUCUCUAUUGAUAUAAAUAAAAAUAUAUAUAAUAUUA